rnacentral:rRNA from 1 species
AAAUUGAAGAGUUUGAUCAUGGCUCAGAUUGAACGCUGGCGGCAGGCCUAACACAUGCAAGUCGAACGGUAACAGGAAGCAGCUUGCUGCUUCGCUGACGAGUGGCGGACGGGUGAGUAAUGUCUGGGAAACUGCCUGAUGGAGGGGGAUAACUACUGGAAACGGUGGCUAAUACCGCAUAACGUCGCAAGACCAAAGAGGGGGACCUUCGGGCCUCUUGCCAUCAGAUGUGCCCAGAUGGGAUUAGCUUGUUGGUGAGGUAACGGCUCACCAAGGCGACGAUCCCUAGCUGGUCUGAGAGGAUGACCAGCCACACUGGAACUGAGACACGGUCCAGACUCCUACGGGAGGCAGCAGUGGGGAAUAUUGCACAAUGGGCGCAAGCCUGAUGCAGCCAUGCCGCGUGUAUGAAGAAGGCCUUCGGGUUGUAAAGUACUUUCAGCGGGGAGGAAGGUGUUGCGGUUAAUAACCGCAGCAAUUGACGUUACCCGCAGAAGAAGCACCGGCUAACUCCGUGCCAGCAGCCGCGGUAAUACGGAGGGUGCAAGCGUUAAUCGGAAUUACUGGGCGUAAAGCGCACGCAGGCGGUCUGUCAAGUCGGAUGUGAAAUCCCCGGGCUCAACCUGGGAACUGCAUUCGAAACUGGCAGGCUUGAGUCUUGUAGAGGGGGGUAGAAUUCCAGGUGUAGCGGUGAAAUGCGUAGAGAUCUGGAGGAAUACCGGUGGCGAAGGCGGCCCCCUGGACAAAGACUGACGCUCAGGUGCGAAAGCGUGGGGAGCAAACAGGAUUAGAUACCCUGGUAGUCCACGCCGUAAACGAUGUCUACUUGGAGGUUGUGCCCUUGAGGCGUGGCUUCCGGAGCUAACGCGUUAAGUAGACCGCCUGGGGAGUACGGCCGCAAGGUUAAAACUCAAAUGAAUUGACGGGGGCCCGCACAAGCGGUGGAGCAUGUGGUUUAAUUCGAUGCAACGCGAAGAACCUUACCUGGUCUUGACAUCCACAGAACUUUCCAGAGAUGGACUGGUGCCUUCGGGAACUGUGAGACAGGUGCUGCAUGGCUGUCGUCAGCUCGUGUUGUGAAAUGUUGGGUUAAGUCCCGCAACGAGCGCAACCCUUAUCCUUUGUUGCCAGCGGUUAGGCCGGGAACUCAAAGGAGACUGCCAGUGAUAAACUGGAGGAAGGUGGGGAUGACGUCAAGUCAUCAUGGCCCUUACGACCAGGGCUACACACGUGCUACAAUGGCGCAUACAAAGAGAAGCGACCUCGCGAGAGCAAGCGGACCUCAUAAAGUGCGUCGUAGUCCGGAUUGGAGUCUGCAACUCGACUCCAUGAAGUCGGAAUCGCUAGUAAUCGUGGAUCAGAAUGCCACGGUGAAUACGUUCCCGGGCCUUGUACACACCGCCCGUCACACCAUGGGAGUGGGUUGCAAAAGAAGUAGGUAGCUUAACCUUCGGGAGGGCGCUUACCACUUUGUGAUUCAUGACUGGGGUGAAGUCGUAACAAGGUAACCGUAGGGGAACCUGCGGUUGGAUCACCUCCUUACCUGAAAGAAGC